AAGUACUCAGGAGAGCCAGAUUUUACUGACUUAGCACGACAUAUGAUAGGAUUUUACAACGUAAGAAAUGAAUAAACAGACAAACGCACCGAUGCAUAAUAUUAGUUAACACAUAUAUAUGUUUAUUUAUUUAUUUUUUUUUUUUUAGAUGUGUAAAAUUUAUACAAAGAGAAAUGAAACAGACAGGGUCGAGUUAGCUCAUGUUGUAGAAAAUGUGAAUUACUUCCAUUUUGUUUUGUUUUAUAUGUAUAGUUAUAUGAUUAAACAUAAACACUUUACUUACAACAAUGUUGAAGAAGGAAAACGUAGUAUUAUACUAAAGUAUCUGAAAGAAAAAAGAAAAAAUAUGCUACUAAUAAAAAAUCAAAAAAUACAAGAAAAAUUAUUAAACAUUCCGCAGGAAUAUUCUAAUUCGAUAAUACCAACAAAGAAUGCUAAAAUGAAAAAAAAACAAAAAAACAUUUUUGAAAAAAUAGAAAAAUCUAGGAGAUAUAGAAAAGUGUCAGAAGAUGAUGAAAAAUUUAUAUGGGUUGAAGAAAAAGAUAAUGAAGAAAUAGAAGAAGACAAAAACCAACAGUUAAAUAAUAUAUGCAAUAAUAAUGAUGAUAAAUCAAGUACCCAAAACGUUAGUAUCGCCACAAUUAAUAAUGGAGAGGACGAUAAUUCUCUAACUGAAAUAAAACAUAACGACAAAGCAUUACAUACAUUUCGUUUUCAAUAUAUAUCGAAUAGCGAAAGAGAAGGGAUAACUAACUCAAUUACAAAUUAUAAUAAAAUAUACAAUAAAUACACAGACCUAAUACAAAAAAAAACAUAUAUCGAUAUAGAUGACAAUUCAAUAAAUGAGGAUAUAAUAAAAGUAACUUAUACGAAUGUGCCUAUAUAUAUACCUAGUGUACCAUGUAUAUGCGUAGAUGUACAUGAAAAAACAAAGGAUAACAUUUCGUAUUUAAUAUGUUUUUAA
rnacentral:lncRNA from 1 species